CCUACGGGUGGCAGCAGUGAGGAAUAUUGGUCAAUGGACGAGAGUCUGAACCAGCCAAGUAGCGUGAAGGAUGACUGCCCUAUGGGUUGUAAACUUCUUUUAUAAAGGAAUAAAACGACGCACGUGUGUCUUUUUGCAUGUACUUUAUGAAUAAGGAUCGGCUAACUCCGUGCCAGCAGCCGCGGUAAUACGGAGGAUCCGAGCGUUAUCCGGAUUUAUUGGGUUUAAAGGGUGCGGAGAUGGGUUGUUAAGUCAGUUGUGAAAGUUUGCGGCUCAACCGUAAAAUUGCAAUUGAUACUGGCAGUCUUGAGUACAGUUGAGGUAGGCGGAAUUCGUGGUGUAGCGGUGAAAUGCUUAGAUAUCACGAAGAACCCCGAUUGCGAAGGCAGCUUACUAAACUGUGACUGACAUUGAGGCUCGAAAGUGUGGGUAUCGAACAGGAUUAGAUACCCUUGUAGUC
rnacentral:rRNA from 1 species